AAAAACACAAGAUAUUCAUUUCUCCCACCAGUAUGGGAGAACUUGACAUUCUUAAGUGAACCUCUAUUUUCUCUCCAAUUUAUUCCCUCAAUUUUCCAUUUACACAUCAACUUAGAACCCAAAAACUAACAAGAGGACUUAAAAAGAAAUUAAAAAUAGGCAUCUAAAAAGAAAAAGGCCAACAAUACUCUUUAACCCCCUCCCCCUCCCACUCUCUCUCUCUUUCAUGCCAUCUUUAAGCCCUUUUCUAUUUUUAUUCUCUCCAUCUUCAUUUUUUCUUUAUUUUUAUUAAUUACAACCACUCCUCCCUUUCUAUGGUUGAUGGAAAAAUAAUUUUUCAUGGUAGUUUUCAGAGAGAAAAACAAAAAAGAUUGAGGGGUGGACUCAAUGCUGGUUGAAAUUUUUUUCGAUGAGACUUUUGAAAUUGAUCUUAUUGAUCUCACCUUCAAAAUCAUCAAGUUGAGCAUCAAAUUUUUAAUUUAUUUUGUAUUUCUGUUCUUUCUCUAUAAAAGUUUGUGUGUUUUGCUCAAAAUUCAAUCUUUUAAUACAUUUUUGUAGAUCUAUCUUCUCUAUUUAAAAAUCAUCUUUUGAUUUUACUCAAAAUCAAUAAUAGAAUAUUGAAAUUGCUCAAAAUCUAUUUUGGUAUUUGAUGAUGGGUAACACAAUUAGGUGAUGAUCGUGUCGCAAAUUUUGAUAUUGGAUAGCAAAGACGAUUAAAUUGGAUGAAGUUAUUGCUUGAUUGUGUUGAUUUUAUAUCAAUAAUAGAAGAGAAGAAGAAGAAGAUGAUGAUGAUGGUGAUAAUGGUGAUGACAUUAUGGUGGUUCUUCUUUAGAACCACCAUGGAAAUUCAGCUUCAGGUGAAAAAAAAGAUAAAAAGAUGAAGGCAAAAAUGGUUGAAAAAAAGUGAAAAAGUUCAAGUAUAUUUGUGGCUUGGACUUAUCUGGUUGGCGGGUGUAAAUCACGUACGGGUAUGCGACUGGCUUUGAUUAUUUGAGGGGGCUAUUAAAUUUAAUUUUAAUAAGAACAUGUGUGUAAUAGGUCGUCACAUUAGUUUAGGUGUGGAAUUGACUUUUCGAUUAUAGUUUAAGGUGGUUGUGAUGGAUUUUUUCAUUUAAAAACAACUUUUUUGAUAUUCAGUUAUUAAAAAUACUAUAUCAUUACCAUACCAUAUCAAUUUGAUAUGGUUCGGUAUCUUGAAUUUUGAUUAUGUAUUUUACGGUAUAAUAUUCGAC
rnacentral:lncRNA from 1 species